rnacentral:rRNA from 1 species
CACGUAGGGCGCAAGCGUUGUCCGGAAUUAUUGGGCGUAAAGAGCUCGUAGGCGGUCUGUUGCGUCCGCUGUGAAAACCCGGGGCUUAACCCUGGGCUGGCAGUGGAUACGGACAGACUAGAGGUAGGUAGGGGAGAAUGGAAUUCCCGGUGUAGCGGUGAAAUGCGCAGAUAUCGGGAGGAACCCCGGUGGCGAAGGCGGUUCUCUGGGCCUUUCCUGACGCUGAGGAGCGAAAGCGUGGGGAGCGAACAGG